rnacentral:rRNA from 1 species
CCUUGCUACGGGGGGCAGCAGUGAGGAAUAUUGGUCAAUGGUCGGGAGACUGAACCAGCCAAGCCGCGUGAGGGAUGAAGGUACAGAGUAUCGUAAACCUCUUUUGUCAGGGAACAAAGGCGGGGACGCGUCCCCGGAUGAGUGUACCUGAGGAAAAAGCAUCGGCUAACUCCGUGCCAGCAGCCGCGGUAAUACGGAGGAUGCGAGCGUUAUCCGGAUUUAUUGGGUUUAAAGGGUGCGCAGGCGGUCUGUUAAGUCAGCGGUCAAAGCCCGGGGCUCAACCCCGGCCCGCCGGUGGAACUUGC